rnacentral:misc_RNA from 1 species
GGCACGGUGCUGUUCAAGGUCAUGAAGCAGCUCGGGCUUCAUGAAGGAUGUAUCGAACAGAUCGAUCGUCUGUUCCGGACCCGCCUCGGUCCCGAUGCCGACGUGGACGAUGCGCUGCGGCUUCGGCUNNNNNNNNNNGACGGUGUUCAGAAAGAAGUGCUGCGCCGCUGGCCUUUGCUGACCACCGAAACGCUCGGCGAACUGGCGGACCUGCCGGAAUACAAGAGUCAGUUCCUGCGCCUGUUCGGGUU